ensembl:lncRNA
GUCGGACACGACUGAAGCGACUGAGCAGCAGCAGCAGCAGUAAUUCCCAGCAAACGUUCCCCUUCAUCUAAGCCAGUGAUCCCCACCCUUUUUGGACGCAGAACCAGUUCCGGGGAAGACAGGUUUUGCACAGAGGAGGCUGAUUCGGGCAGUACCGUGAGGGAUUGGGAGCGGCAGGUUCUGUGCGCCUGGAGCAGUCAGGAGCUGCGGCUCACUCCCUUUACGAGGCUGGGGAGGCACCGCGGCCGGCCCAGGGACUCCGAGCACCCACAGCUCGGCUGCUGUCACGGUGGCGGGACACCCACGUCCACAGCUGCGCUCAGGAGCCUGUCCAUGAGCAUCCUGGGGGCACCCCGGGCACAUGUGACUCAGAGGACAUCCUGCAGUCAUCUCAGGAGACACCCCACCUGACAUGGCUAAGGAUUUAAAUUCCAACCCUCACCCCACCAGGCCCCUUCCUUCUUGCCACUCAAAUCUGGGGGCAGCUCCUGUGACCAGAGUGAGCCCCUGCAGAGCAUGUGGAGCCUGGUGGGCUGCCGUCUAUGGAGUCGCACAGAGUCGGACACGACUGAAGCGACGCAGCAGCAGCAGCAGCAGGAGCUGCCCCCAUCCUCCAUAUGAGCCGCGAUCAGACGCUUGGUGCCCACGGCGUCCAGGCCCAAGUCCUCGGAGCCCAGUUCUGCAAGAGAGUCAAAAGUUAGCCCGUCUUGCGCCUCACGAAGCCCGCUCAGUUUGGCGAGGUCGCCGGGGCCACUCCGCAGUGCCGGGCGCCCUCUUUCGGCCUCCAGACGGCUGGCUCGCUGGCCACCUGGCGUCCGGCAGGUUCGCCCAGGGGCGGCGGCGGCGCGGUGCCGUCUGGAUUCUGUCCCCGUGAACAUCCCGUGGCUCCCGAAGCCCGAGGAGCCUGUCCGCAGCGGAGGAGACUCAGACUGUUGUUCCCUUUCUGUGGCUUCACCUCUGCGCUUCCCUGUCAGGUCCUGCGUGGCCGAAAGAGGAGCUGGUGUCGACUGUGUAUUUCCAC